rnacentral:rRNA from 1 species
UACGGGGGGGGCAAGCGUUGUUCGGAAUUACUGGGCGUAAAGGGUUCGUAGGUGGCCAACUAAGUCAGACGUGAAAUCCCUCAGCUUAACUGGGGAACUGCGUCUGAUACUGGUUGGCUUGAGUGCAGGAGAGGAACGCGGAAUUCCAGGUGUAGCGGUGAAAUGCGUAGAUAUCAGGAGGAACACCUGCGGUGUAGACGGCUUACUGGACCAUAACUGACGCUGAGGCACGAAAGCGUGGGGAGCAAACAGG